rnacentral:rRNA from 1 species
CCAAUAGCGUAUAUUAAAGUUGUUGCAGUUAAAAAGCUCGUAGUUGAACUUCGGGAUCAAUGGAUCGGUCAUGCCAUCGGUAUGUACUGGUCUCAUUGGUUCCCACCUUCUAAGGAACCAUAAUGUCAUUCAUUUGAUGUUUUGGGGAAUUAGGACUGUUACCUUGAAAAAAUUAGAGUGUUUAAAGCAGGCUAACGCUUGAAUACAUUAGCAUGGAAUAAUGAAAUAGGACAUCGCAUUCUAUUUUGUUGGUUUCUAGGAUCGAUGUAAUGAUUAAUAGGGAUAGUUGGGGGCAUUAGUAUUCAAUUGUCAGAGGUGAAAUUCUUGGAUUUAUUGAAGACUAACUACUGCGAAAGCAUUUGCCAAGGAUGUUUUCAUUAAUCAAGAACGAAAGUUAGGGGAUCGAAGACGAUCAGAUACCGUCGUAGUCUUAACCAUAAACUAUGCCGACUAGGGAUCGGAUGAUGUUGAUUUUUUAAUGACUCAUUCGGCACCUUACG